rnacentral:rRNA from 1 species
GGAUAGUGGACGUUACUCGCAGAAUAAGCACCGGCUAACUCUGUGCCAGCAGCCGCGGUAAUACAGAGGGUGCAAGCGUUAAUCGGAUUUACUGGGCGUAAAGCGCGCGUAGGUGGCCAAUUAAGUCAAAUGUGAAAUCCCCGAGCUUAACUUGGGAAUUGCAUUCGAUACUGGUGGGCUAGAGUAUGGGAGAGGAUGGUAGAAUUCCAGGUGUAGCGGUGAAAUGCGUAGAGAUCUGGAGGAAUACCGAUGGCGAAGGCAGCCAUCUGGCCUAAUACUGACACUGAGGUGCGAAAGCAUGGGGAGCAAACAGGAUUAGAUACCCUGGUAGUCCAUGCCGUAAACGAUGUCUACUAGCCGUUGGGGCCUUUGAGGCUUUAGUGGCGCAGCUAACGCGAUAAGUAGACCGCCUGGGGAGUACGGUCGCAAGACUAAAACUCAAAUGAAUUGACGGGGGCCCGCACAAGCGGUGGAGCAUGUGGUUUAAUUCGAUGCAACGCGAAGAACCUUACCUGGUCUUGACAUAGUAAGAACUUUCCAGAGAUGGAUUGGUGCCUUCGGGAACUUACAUACAGGUGCUGCAUGGCUGUCGUCAGCUCGUGUCGUGAGAUGUUGGGUUAAGUCCCGCAACGAGCGCAACCCUUUUCCUUAUUUGCCAGCGGGUUAAGCCGGGAACUUUAAGGAUACUGCCAGUGACAAACUGGAGGAAGGCGGGGACGACGUCAAGUCAUCAUGGCCCUUACGACCAGGGCUACACACGUGCUACAAUGGUCGGUACAAAGGGUUGCUACCUCGCGAGAGGAUGCUAAUCUCAAAAAGCCGAUCGUAGUCCGGAU